rnacentral:lncRNA from 1 species
UUCUUUUAAGGAUAGUUGCUAUUGUAUACCCCAAGGCCAUUAGCCCACCAAGAAGUCGCACACUCACUUCAAAAGAGAUCCUUGGUGAUAUAACAAAAGGAGCAUCUGUUACCCAUUCCUGAAAUUGAGAGUUAUAACUGGUCAUAUCAGAUAAAGAUGUGGAAAUAAGAUUUAAAAAUAAAUAAAUAAAUAAAACAACAAAAAGCCAUUUAAUUGUACUUUGUUAGUAGUGAUAUUAAUAAUAUGCAUACAUGGGACAUUUAAGGUUUCCUUAAACUAUUAUCCUAGCAUAAUUUUAUUCAUGAUCACCAGUCAUAAGUAAUUCAAUGCAGCCAAUAACUUUAACUUGUUACACACACAAAUUUUAAUUUGUUUUCAAUAGACCUAUGCCAAUUUCAUUCAAUAUAAACUCCACAAGGUUUUUUUUUUGGUGGUCAAAUAAGAUUUUUUUAAUACAACUAUACAACUAAAAGUGGGCCACAAGACUUUCUUACUUAGUUGCCAUGUAAAAAAGAACAUGUAAAAAUUUGAUUUUUGUGCUGUUCAGAAACACAUAGAGGCACAUUGUUUCCAACAGGACCUAAUAUGUUUCUUCACACAUAUUUCUAAAAUUUGUCAAAGUACACAAGGUAUUCAAGUCUACCAGAACCAAUAAUUCUCACACCAAGGAAAAUAAAAUGGGCAAACCUCAAACAUAAGAUUAUACUUUCCAUCUUUAUUCCUCAUUCUCAGAUAUGACUGACAAGAUUCAGGAUCUUCACCAGGUGGUAAAAGAAAAAUAUCAUAAGUCUGCUCUGUCAUCUCUGUAUGUUCCUCAGAG